rnacentral:misc_RNA from 1 species
AAAGAAUUUCGUGUAUGCCCUGUGCAUGUCGCAAUUCAAAUCCCAUUCUGUGUACCAUGCCUGUUGCUUCCGUGGGACGCGUCCACGUUUGUGGGCGCGCUGCGGUGGUCAGCCACUUGACCUGACCAUUGGCAGAGAGUAUCCACGGGAGGUUUCGGAAUAAACCAUUUGCAAUGAUUGAAGUCUGUCUGAAAGAGCAAUACAAUUGUUA